rnacentral:rRNA from 1 species
UACGGAGGGUGCAAGCGUUAUCCGGAUUCACUGGGUUUAAAGGGUGCGUAGGCGGGCAGGUAAGUCAGUGGUGAAAUCUUUGGGCUUAACCCGAAACUGCCAUUGAUACUAUCUGUCUUGAAUAUUGUGGAGGUUUGCGGAAUAUGUCAUGUAGCGGUGAAAUGCUUAGAUAUGACAUAGAACACCUAUUGCGAAGGCAGCAAACUACGCAUAUAUUGACGCUGAGGCACGAAAGCGUGGGGAUCAAACAGG